CCUACGGGCGGCAGCAGUGGGGAAUAUUGGACAAUGGGGGCAACCCUGAUCCAGCCAUGCCGCGUGUGUGAAGAAGGCCCUCGGGUUGUAAAGCACUUUCAGUGGGGAAGAACGCCUGGUGGUUAAUACCCAUCAGGAAAGACAUCACUCACAGAAGAAGCACCGGCUAACUCCGUGCCAGCAGCCGCGGUAAUACGGAGGGUGCGAGCGUUAAUCGGAAUUACUGGGCGUAAAGCGCGCGUAGGUGGCUUGAUAAGCCGGUUGUGAAAGCCCCGGGCUCAACCUGGGAACAGCAUCCGGAACUGUCAAGCUAGAGUGCAGGAGAGGAAGGUAGAAUUCCCGGUGUAGCGGUGAAAUGCGUAGAGAUCGGGAGGAACACCAGUGGCGAAGGCGGCCUUCUGGACUGACACUGACACUGAGGUGCGAAAGCGUGGGUAGCAAACAGGAUUAGAUACCCCGGUAGUC
rnacentral:rRNA from 1 species